UCUUCCACGGCUUCUGAAGGGCUGGCGACAGCGUGCCCAUUUCUGUCCAGAAGAGGCCUGGUCACAACACUGGUGACAAAAGAAGGUACUGUGGGUGACCUGGAAGUUGAGGGUGAGGGUGCCACUUCUGUGCCCAGGGUGGCCCCGACGCCUCUCCUCCCAGCUCCCGACGCCCUGAGGCCAGACCUCUGCCCAGGGCCCCAUCCCUCUGCCAGGUAUCCGGCUUUCUGCUGGGCCCCACCGGCCAUCCCUUCCUGCCCACGUGGGGUGCACACCUCCUGGCCCACAGCCUGCUCAGAGCCCCCUCCCCAGGAAGCGUCCUCAGACCCCUGGCCAGGAGACCCCGUGCCGCCUCUCUGGCUCUGAGUCACUCUCAGGUGUGGCCUUCUGGGCUUCAGCAGAGCCUCCGCUGACCCUCCUCCCUGGCCUCACACCCUACACCUAGAGGGUCAAUGCUGUCCACGUGUUACCCAACUCAGUGUCCCCUCCCGACCAGAGAGGCCGUGGGGUGAGGGCCUCCUGUGGCUGAAAGUACCCUCCUGAGCUCACAUGCAAGAGAAGGGCCACUGUGCUGGUGGCCUGGCUGCCUCUGUCCGCAGCCUCUGGGAGGGACAAGCAGGGGAGGGGACGGCAGGGGAGGUGGCACGGCCUGCCUGGGCCUGCACAGGGACCACCCAUCAGCUCCCCCUGAGAGCACCCUCCCUCUUCAGCCCAACCCUGAGAAGGCAGGUCCUGGGACCCUGGUGACUUCCCGGGAGCCACACUGGCCUGGAGAGGCGCUCAGCCCCCGGGUGCCGUGAGGUCCUCGUGGGCACUCAGGACUCCUGUGGGCGCCCACCUGCUCCUCCCUUGGCAGAGCCCCCUCUGCUCCUUGCCCUCUGCAUCUGAAUCCCGGGAGCAGUCCUCUGAGCUCCCUGCAGGACACUCCCACCCGCAGGACUGACGGGGGCUCAGUCUUCCCCCCCAGCCUGCUUCCCCGUGAAGCCCUCGGCAGGGCGGGCCACCUGCAGCCUGAUGGGAUUCCUCCUCCCCACCAGGAGGCCUGGUCCUGUGCUAGGUCACCACUGUGGUGGCCUCCAGCUAUGCGUUGAGCUGGGGCGGAGCAGUCCCUCUGGUGGAAAUCCAGCUGUCCCAACCCCCUUCCAUAGAGGAGGCCUGGAGAUGUCCGAGUGGCCCAAGCCACCCACGAGGCCCCUUGAGGAGGGAGCCCAGGUAGCAGCAGGGCUGUCCAACGCCCACUAGCACCGUGGGCUGUGGGCCAGGCACCCUCUGCGUGCUGGGCUCAGGGGCGAAGGCCAUGCCGCCCCUCCAAGCACACACAUGGCACCUUCGCCAGCAGAGCCCAGGGCCUGUCCAGAGCCCAGAGCCCAUCCCAUCCGGGGCGGCCACGUCCUGCAGAGCAGCAGGAGCAAGAUCAGCCAAGUCACCCUCAGAACCAACCUGGGAUGUGUCCUGCUUGUCUCGGGACAGCACAGGGGCCUCUGGAGUCCCCUCCGGCCUGCGUGCUCCUGAGAAGAGCCUGCCUCGCCGGCCUGAGCUGCCAUGGCAAGUGCCACCGGCCGCGGCCUAAAACCCAAGGAUCAUUGUCCCCGUCCUGGGGGUCAAAGGUCGAGGUCCUCACACAGUCCUCUGUGGCCUGUGUCCCGACCCCCUCUCCCUGUAAGGACCCGUCCAGCUGGUUUGGAGCCCCGGGGGGACCUGCUUUAACUUGUACGUAUGUGAAGACCCCACCUCCAAUAAGACCCCACCUCCAAACUGCCACAUGGGGAUGGAAUGGGGGACCGCGCCCCUGACUCUGGAGCACCUCGGAGCCUGCCGGGACCUUACAGGAGGAGCUCUGAGAUGCGCCACCCCCAGGAGCCGCGCCAACACUGCUGGGCCUCGGGCGCCUGGGGGAGAAGAGCCGCGGUCUUGGCUGUACUUUUCAGCCCCUUCCUUCACGUGUCGGGCUCUGGGCCGUCUGCCAUGGGCCCCUCCCCGAGCUUCUCUGGGUUCGGGAUGAAAACACUGGAACCCCAGCCAGGGGUGGAACCCAGCUUCUCUGCCCAUUAGCUGUGUGUCUCUAGGCCCAUUCCUUGCCCCCUCUGUGCCUCAUUUUCCUGCUGUAUAAAAUGGGACAAUGACAGUCCCUACCCCAUAGGUUUUA